rnacentral:tRNA from 1 species
GCGAACGUAGCUCAAUUGGUAGAGCACCAGGUUGUGGUCCUGGGUGUCGUGGGUUCGAUUCCCAUCGUUCGCCCCA